CCCAUCACACAAAUACCCAAAUCCCACACGUCUUCGCAUAAGCUCUUCAAAUCGUUCCUCUUUUCCAACUCUCUUUUCUCCCCUCUAUAUAACCUCUACCUCUACAAAAAUCUUCCUCUAUCAUAUAAAAGAACUUCUCUUUCAAAUUCUUACCGCUUCAAUUCCUAUUUUUCUUUCUGUACACCUUCGAAAAUCAACUUUUCGCUCCAAUUUUGAGCUCUGAAUCAGCAGAAUUUAAGCAAACCCUAGGUUUAGAUUUUACACUCAAAGGUCUGAAUCUGAACCAAUUUUUUCAUCAUCGUCUGAUAUUGUUUCAUUAAGCAAGUUGUAAACCUCAAUAUUCCGAGUUUUAUUGCAACGAUUUCUUAUAUGAGCUGAAUCAAAGUCUAUGUCUGAAUUAUGUGCGAAUUUGCGCUACAUUAUAGUCAUUCUUUUUCCGUGUUGAGUUCUAUUGAAAAUCUUACACACUCGCACAUACACUUGAUUUUGCAUAAGCAAACUUGUCCUAAUUCUCCUGAUUUGCUUGAAUGGGAAAUAACAAUUAAUAAAAUAAAAAAAUUGGGGAGGGUGAGACUGAGGGUGCAGAAUUGAUAUUGGAUUUUUCUUCUUUAGGGGAAGAGUUAUUAUUGUUUUAUUAGGUUCUUUUAACUGUCUUGUGUCACUUACACUAUUUCACUGGCACCCUCACUACGGUCCGGCUUUGUGUACCAAGGAACCUCUGGUCUUUUAUCCUUUAGUUCUAGCUGGAGAAAUUAUUAUUUUUAUUAUUGAUGAAGGAGAUGUAUUGAAUUUGUAGAAAAUAUAGAUAACUUUUAGUGUUAGUGAACUAAUCUUUUGAAUGUUGAAUUGAGAUGGAUCUAAGUGGAGGGACUUGGAUAGUGAGUAUUCAUAUAGUCGACCCAAUUAGCUUGGGAUUGACGUGUAGUUGUUGCUGUAUUAGUAUACUUUAUGAAGGAGAUAUUGAUAAUAUCUGCUACUUUAAUCCAUUUUGUAGAGGUUUGUGUAGGGAGUUAAAAGAGGA
rnacentral:lncRNA from 1 species